ensembl:snRNA Gm24856 predicted gene, 24856
GUGCUCGCUUCAGCAGCACAUAUACUAAAAUUAGAACGAUACAGAGAAGAUUAGCAUGGCCCCUGCACAAGGAUGACACACAAAUUCGUGAAGCAUUCCAUAUUUUU